rnacentral:rRNA from 1 species
AUUGAACGCUGGCGGCAGGCUUAACACAUGCAAGUCGAGCGGUAACAGAGAGAAGCUUGCUUCUCUGCUGACGAGCGGCGGACGGGUGAGUAAUGCCUAGGAAUCUGCCUAGUAGUGGGGGAUAACUUGCCGAAAGGUAAGCUAAUACCGCAUACGUCCUACGGGAGAAAGGAGGGGACCUUCGGGCCUUUCGCUAUUAGAUGAGCCUAGGUCGGAUUAGUUAGUUGGUGAGGUAAUGGCUCACCAAGACCGCGAUCCGUAACUGGUCUGAGAGGAUGAUCAGUCACACUGGAACUGAGACACGGUCCAGACUCCUAAGGGAGGCAGCAGUGGGGAAUAUUGGACAAUGGGGGGAACCCUGAUCCAGCCGUGCCGCGUGUGUGAAGAAGGUCUUAGGAUUGUAAAGCACUUUAAGUUGGGAGGAAGAGCAGUUAACUAAUAUUUGACUGUUUUGACGUUACCGACAGAAUAGGCACCGGCUAACUUCGUGCCAGCAGCCGCGGUAA